rnacentral:rRNA from 1 species
UACGUAGGGUGCGAGCGUUGUCCGGAAUUAUUGGGCGUAAAGCGCUCGUAGGCGGCUUGUCGCGUCGGAUGUGAAAGCCCGGGGCUUAACUCCGGGUCUGCAUUCGAUACGGGCAGGCUAGAGUUCGGUAGGGGAGAUCGGAAUUCCUGGUGUAGCGGUGAAAUGCGCAGAUAUCAGGAGGAACACCGGUGGCGGAGGCGGUGCUCUGGGCCAGUACUGACGCUGAGGAGCGAAAGCGUGGGGAGCGAACAGG